UACGUAGGUGGCAAGCGUUGUCCGGAUUUAUUGGGUUUAAAGGGUCCGUAGGCGGCCCCAGUAAGUCAGUGGUGAAAUCUCCCGGCUCAACCGGGAAAUGGCCAUUGAUACUGCUGGGCUUGAAUUACCCAGGAAGUAACUAGAAUAUGUAGUGUAGCGGUGAAAAUGCUAGAUAUUACAUGGAAUACCAAUUGCGAAGGCAGGUUUACUA
rnacentral:rRNA from 1 species